rnacentral:rRNA from 1 species
GACGAACGCUGGCGGCGUGCUUAACACAUGCAAGUCGAACGGAAAGGCCCUGCUUUUGUGGGUGCUCGAGUGGCGAACGGGUGAGUAACACGUGAGUAACCUGCCCUUGACUUUGGGAUAACUUCAGGAAACUGGGGCUAAUACCGGAUAGGAGCUCCUGCUGCAUGGUGGGGGUUGGAAAGUUUCGGCGGUUGGGGAUGGACUCGCGGCUUAUCGGCUUGUUGGUGGGGUAGUGGCUUACCAAGGCUUUGACGGGUAGCCGGCCUGAGAGGGUGACCGGCCACAUUGGGACUGAGAUACGGCCCAGACUCCUACGGGAGGCAGCAGGGGGGAAUAUUGCACAAUGGGCGGAAGCCUGAUGCAGCAACGCCGCGUGCGGGAUGACGGCCUUCGGGUUGUAAACCGCUUUCGCCUGUGACGAAGCGUGAGUGACGGUAAUGGGUAAAGAAGCACCGGCUAACUACGUG